AACUCAACUCAACUCAACUCAACUCAACUCAAAAGGGUCUUCUCACUGCCCAUAUCAGAGGUGCCAUGAUCCAGUGUGACUUGAUGCACCCAGACAGGCUGGGACCCCUCAGCAGGCCCGCAGUGGACAGCUGUGAUUACUGCUGACAAUAAUUUAUGGUCCCCUCUGAUUGAAAACAUGAGAGAUGGAGAUAGAAAGGCUGGUGCCGAGUCAAGGCACCACCUUAAGAUAUAAAACUGAGGCCACAGCUGCUGUCAGAGGCAGAACUCCUGCCAAGCUCUACGGGCCUUCUGCCCAUCCAGACAAACACCAGCUCUCAUUUUGCUCUCUUUUUUCUUUCUUUAUAUUUGCCAUCCUCCUUUGCUUUCCCUUUUACAGACCUCCUCUGCAUUGUCUCUCACAUAUAUUUUAUCUUGCUCAUACUUCACUUACACUCUGUUCUUUAUUUUCAACUUUUAUAUGCAAUAUAAACAUCCAUCAUAAUAUGGAGCUACACCAUGUGUAAUAAUUGUCUGAAAUGAAAAAGGAACAAACAGUUAUCCACUCGGGGCUGAUCAGGUGUCUCUGCAGUGAGCUUUUCCAGCCCUGAGAUUACCAUGCUAAUCCUAACAAUAGCAAUGUGCGGCUGGUUUGAACAACUAUCUGCGCCAUUGUUUAUGUUGUCAUCCCUGCUGGAUCACACUCAUGAGGAGUAACCAUUUGAGUGGAUUUGCAUUUACUAUUUCAAUGCCAUAUCCAGGGAUGAAGAUCUCUUCCUCUGAAAGGAUGCGUGUUCUGGGUUUUAUGUUCUCUGUCUAAAAAAGGCCCUGAACCAAAGAGAAGGGGAGCAAAGCUCUUGUGGAAAUGAGACUGAAAUUAAACAAUCCACUCAACUUGAUUGAAAAAGAUUUAAAUGGAAUCAGAUGGA